UUCCUUUUGUUUUCUCCUCGUUAAAUGGCAGGCACCACCAUUUCCUUUCUUGCGUGAACAACUUCCAAACAUUUCACCAUUCCUAAAUUAAAAAGAUCAAUUAUUUCCUUUCUUGAUUGAUUGCCAAUCAAUCACGAGUCAUGCCGUGAUUACGAAACACCCUAUAUAACCCGGCUCCAUCCUUCACUUCGAAACCGUACCACCUCCCGUUCACAGCCACCCCCCUUCCGACUCCUAUAAAUACCGAACCGAUUCCCGAAACCAUCUUCGUCGGCCGGAGUCUCGCAUCUCCGCCGGGGUUUGACCACCACUCCUAGCCGGAACCACCGCCGCACCACCGCCAUUCGCCGUCGUCUGCCGUCUCCGAUGACCCCGUCCGGGUAAAUCUCUUGUGCAACGACACUUGGAACAAUCCUCAUAUUCUCUUUACAAGAAUCGCAACGCAAUCACUGUUGAUUGAUCAAGAUACAAGAAAACAAGCUAGGAUGGCUUAGAAACUCAUUCUAGAAAUAAGCAAUUGUU
rnacentral:lncRNA from 1 species